UAGGGAAUCUUCGGCAAUGGACGAAAGUCUGACCGAGCAACGCCGCGUGAGUGAAGAAGGUUUUCGGAUCGUAAAACUCUGUUGUUAGAGAAGAACAAGGACGUUAGUAACUGAACGUCCCCUGACGGUAUCUAACCAGAAAGCCACGGCUAACUACGUGCCAGCAGCCGCGGUAAUACGUAGGUGGCAAGCGUUGUCCAGAUUUAUUGGGCGUAAAGCGAGCGCAGGCGGUUUCUUAAGUCUGAUGUGAAAGCCCCCGGCUCAACCGGGGAGGGUCAUGGGAAACUGGGAGACUUGAGUGCAGAAGAGGAGAGUGGAAUUCCAUGUGUAGCGGUGAAAUGCGUAGAUAUAUGGAGGAACACCAGUGGCGAAGGCGGCUCUCUGGUCUGUAACUGACGCUGAGGCUCGAAAGCGUGGGGAGCAAACAGG
rnacentral:rRNA from 1 species